GUGGGUGUAGCUCAGUUGGUUAGAGCUCCAGAUUGUGGAUCUGGCUGUCGCCGGUUCGAGUCCGGUCAUCCACCCCA
rnacentral:tRNA from 1 species